rnacentral:rRNA from 1 species
AUUGAACGCUGGCGGCAUGCUUUACACAUGCAAGUCGAACGGCAGCACGGGCUUCGGCCUGGUGGCGAGUGGCGAACGGGUGAGUAAUAUAUCGGAACGUACCCAGAGGUGGGGGAUAACGUAGCGAAAGUUACGCUAAUACCGCAUACGAUCUAUGGAUGAAAGCAGGGGACCGCAAGGCCUUGUGCUCCUGGAGCGGCCGAUAUCUGAUUAGCUAGUUGGUGAGGUAAAGGCUCACCAAGGCGACGAUCAGUAGCUGGUCUGAGAGGACGACCAGCCACACUGGAACUGAGACACGGUCCAGACUCCUGCGGGAGGCAGCAGUGGGGAAUUUUGGACAAUGGGCGCAAGCCUGAUCCAGCAAUGCCGCGUGAGUGAAGAAGGCCUUCGGGUUGUAAAGCUCUUUUGUCAGGGAAGAAACGGUAGAGGCUAAUAUCCUUUGCUAAUGACGGUACCUGAAGAAUAAGCACCGGCUAACUACGUG